UGGGGAAUAUUGCACAAUGGGCGCAAGCCUGAUGCAGCCAUGCCGCGUUUAUGAAGAAGGCCUUCGGGUUGUAAAGUACUUUCAGCGGGGAGGAAGGGAGUAAAGUUAAUACCUUUGCUCAUUGACGUUACCCGCAGAAGAAGCACCGGCUAACUCCGUGCCAGCAGCCGCGGUAAUACGGAGGGUGCAAGCGUUAAUCGGAAUUACUGGGCGUAAAGCGCACGCAGGCGGUUUGUUAAGUCAGAUGUGAAAUCCCCGGGCUCAACCUGGGAACUGCAUCUGAUACUGGCAAGCUUGAGUCUCGUAGAGGGGGGUAGAAUUCCAGGUGUAGCGGUGAAAUGCGUAGAGAUCUGGAGGAAUACCGGUGGCGAAGGCGGCCCCCUGGACGAAGACUGACGCUCAGGUGCGAAAGCGUGGGGAGCAAACAGG
rnacentral:rRNA from 1 species